GGGGGUAUAGUCUAAUUGGUAAGACAGCGAUCUUGCUCAUCGUAGUUUUAGGUUCGAGUCCUGAUAUCUCCA
rfam:Diplodia corticola strain CBS 112549 scaffold74, whole genome shotgun sequence.